UGGAGUUCUACUGUCGUUGGAGUUCUACUAUCGCAUACAAAGAAAUUUUAAAAAAUUAAUUAAAAUAUUUGGGUUCUAUUGUCGCCUUGUCGGUGGAGUUCUUCUCGCAACGUCAGACUGCAGCGCACCUAGCGGCAAGGCGUUGCAAUAACCAAAAUAACCUCAGCAACGCUAAGACCCUAAACGUUAACUGUCAACACGUCAACAAGUGUUUGGGCAGUGGGAGCUUGGGAUCAUUCAAGAAGUUUGUGCUGCAGUUGCUUUCAGUAAAGCAAGAUUCGUAUAGAAAAGCGAAAUAGUUCAUGAAUAAUUUUACGAAAAGAAGCUGCAAAAUGAUUCUAUGACACACUUUGACAUGAGUAUCUGAAAUUCCAGUGAACCAGUCAGUUCACCAGCAACAGCUUCUAGUCCUGGCAAAAAGCCAGAAAACAAUGUAAGAAGAAACAUCAACAAUUUAUCAUUUCAGGAGAUCACAACAGAUCUAUGCAUCACACAUGGUAAUCAAGAGUUUGCAGUCAGCAUACUCAGUACUCUUCUUUCUAAAGACGAAAUGAAAUCCUGGAAGAUGUCUUGGGGCUGUUAUCACUUUGUCCAACAGCAUCCUGGAAGAACUGCUACUUUGCAUCACCACAAUUUAAAA